UUCCAGCUUUGGUCAAUCCAAGGGUCAUAGCAGGCGACUUUUCCUAAGCCCUUAAUGUGUGCGAGGGACCAUGUGUUCUAAGUGCUUUUGAGGAAGUAUAAUUUUGAUCAUUUCCUUACAGAAUGAGGACUGCUCUCAUUUCCAUUUUACAGGCUCAGGCUUGGGAUGUGGUCCCUGCAGGCAGCACCGCCAUCUCCGUGCCAAGAAAGACAAAAGAAAGGUAGGAAAUGGGGGACCAGCCUCCGUUGGUCUUGAGAACCCAGGGCACCUGGUUUCUGGGGUUGAAAAACUGUCUGAUGGUCCAAAAACAGGUUACAGAAGACUCACUUGGAAGGGAAAGGGAGCAGGCUCCUUUUGGGUUUUCAUCUAGGUUUUUGAAAAGCAAAGUAGACUGGCGAGAGAUGCCUGUCUGAGGCGUGUUUUAUCGUAACCUUUCCAUGUAAUCCUGAAAGCCCACCUAAUCAAUUGAAGAUCAUAAAAUAUUAGACUUAAUGCUGCAAAGUGCUGCUUUUUAAUUCACAUAACAAGCUCCUAAAUAAUUCAAAUAGCAAACAGACCCUGCAAGUCAAUGGUGGGAGGCUGCUUGGAUCAGCGGGAGAGUGUCAACACAUGCCACAUUUCCCGGAUCGACUCCAUUUCAAGAACCCUAUUAAGUUAAUUGCCGGUUUCUGACAGCAGAGAGCAUGCUGGGAGCACAGCAAGCUUUAUUAGCCUCUGUGGCAUCUGGAGACAUCAGCCAUUUUGCCCCUACUUGCAGGCACUGGGAGCAGCACAGAAAAAAGUAAAUCAAAUUAUGAGAUAAUAAGUGCUUUUGGCAACACGUGGGCAUCAGAUUCAUUGGUGAAUCCAAAGGAGUUCGAGUGUCAAUUGUCAGACUGUUAAAAUUUUUACAACACUGUCUAUAUGUUGCAAAAGUCUCACAGGAUGCCACGGAGCAGUUACAUCAUUUGGCACUGCGUGGUUGAUGCAGGUUCCCAGGCAGGGUGCUGCUUUCACGGCUGUGUGCUCUCCCCCUGGCGGCCCUGGUAUAUACUGAGUACGGAGAGAGCUGGGGGCAUCUGGCAGCUUGGAGACAGGCUGGCAUGGAGUGCGGCGCUGAUCUCUCCAGGGCUCACCUUUGACACACAGGAGAAGACACAGGCAGAGAGAAAAUCUGUGACUGCCCCACGGUCACAGAGCUAGCCAGCGGCAGCUGCCUCUAGGACCACAUUCCAGUCAUCCCUGCCUGUCUUCAUCCCACCUGCUGUCGUUUCUCUUUUAGGCCUCAAGAUAUUGUGUGAUGAUAAUAACCUAGAUUAGAUUGAGGUCAGCAUCCUGGCUCAGCCAUUUAUUGUCUCCAUGACCUUAAUUUAAGCAAAAUAUAUAACUUUG